UACGUAGGGGGCAAGCGUUGUCCGGAUUUAUUGGGCGUAAAGAGCGUGUAGGCGGCCAUACAGGUCCGUUGUGAAAACUGGAGGCUUAACCUCCAGACGUCGAUGGAAACCGUAUGGCUAGAGUCCGGAAGAGGAGAGUGGAAUUCCUGGUGUAGCGGUGAAAUGCGCAGAUAUCAGGAAGAACACCCGUGGCGAAAGCGGCUCUCUGGAACGGUACUGACGCUGAGACGCGAAAGCGUGGGGAGCGAACAGG
rnacentral:rRNA from 1 species